GACGAACGCUGGCGGCAUGCUUAAAACAUGCAAGUCGUACAAGAAAGUCUCUUCGGAGAUGAGUAAAGUAACGCACGGGUGAGUAACGCGUGGGUAAUCUGCCCUUAGGUUUGGGAUAACCCCGGGAAACCGGAGCUAAUACCGAAUGAGACCACGAUGACUUCGGUCGAUGUGGGAAAAGGUGGCCUCUUCUGGAAAACUAUCGCAAAAGGAUGAGCCCGCGUUUGAUUAACUAGUUGGUUAGGUAAUGGCUCACCAAGGCGACGAUCAAUAGCUGGUCUGAGAGGAUGAUCAGCCACACUGGAACUGAGAUACGGUCCAGACUCCUACGGGAGGCAGCAGUCAGGAAUAUUGGGCAAUGGGCGAAAGCCUAACCCAGCAACGCCGCGUGAAGGAUGAAGGCCUUCGGGUCGUAAACUUCUGUCGAGAGGGAAGAAUGCGUACGGGUGAAUAAUCCGUGCGUUUGACGGUACCUCCAAAGGAAGCACCGGCUAACUCUGUGCCAGCCGCCGCGGUAAAAC
rnacentral:rRNA from 1 species